UACGUAGGGCGCGAGCGUUAUCCGGAAUUAUUGGGCGUAAAGAGCUCGUAGGCGGUUUGUCACGUCUGCUGUGAAAACUGAAGGCUCAACCUCCAGCCUGCAGUGGGUACGGGCAGACUAGAGUGCGGUAGGGGAGAUUGGAAUUCCUGGUGUAGCGGUGGAGUGCGCAGAUAUCAGGAGGAACACCGAUGGCGAAGGCAGAUCUCUGGGCCGUAACUGACGCUGAGGAGCGAAAGCAUGGGGAGCGAACAGG
rnacentral:rRNA from 1 species